UUUUCAUUCUAUUGUUUUUCACUGUUCUUCACCCUUUCUUGAUUUUCUCUCUUGUUCUCUUUCUCUCUCUAGGCAAAACCAUAUUCACCUUUAAUUUCAUCAAUGGAACAAUGAACUUUUUCAGGAUUGCUAGUGACAUGACAUAUCCAAACGAGCAUAGAAGGAAGAUUUCAAGCUCUAGGUUCAUACACACAACGUCAUUGAUGUUACUUUUCAAAAGAAUUGUCUAGCUUUUGAUAUCAUAUUCAUGAAUAUGCUUUAUCUUUGCUGCUGAAGUUAGCUCACGACCAGAUGUUGAUGAUAAUUAUUCAUUGCUUGACAUAUAUUCAAGGAGCCAGAGAUUGACGUCCGGUCAUUUAGAUUUGAGUCCCAAGUUUUGCUCUAUCAGUAUGAUGGUCGAACCAGUGAGUGCGAUCAAUUUGAAUGGUCAACGAAUGCAAUUGAUAUUAGUAAAUUUAUGCAUCUUUCGGCUAGUGAAGAAGACUGCAGUGAGGCAAUAUUGCAUGAUAAGAAGCCCUUCAUAUUUGCAACAAAACUGAGCAAAAGAUAUUUAGUGGAAAAGGUUCUGUGAAACAGAGCAAUGUAAAUGCAAAAGAUAAGCUGAAUUGUUACAACGUCGUUAAUACUUUAUUGCAAAUGACAUAUCUACAAAUAUCAAUGUGAAAUAGAAGUUUAGCUAUUAUACUGAUUGAAAUGAUCUUACUAUUUUCUCAAAUCCUGAAUUAUAUUUGAGUAACUUUUAUUUUACAUGGAUUGAAAAUGAUAUUGUUUCUAGUAAUUUGAAGCAUCUCAAUGAAACUGCUAAGUGCAUUGAUGUAACAUUUCUCUAAAAGAUUCCUUAUUGUAGUUUCAAGUGUUGGGGCAAACACUUUCCUUGUUCAAGAUAUUGGCAGGAAUUAGAAGUAUGUUAUAUUAUUCAAGUUUUGUCUUCUGCAGUACUGAAUUUAUUUUUGAUGUUGCAACAAGUGCAAUGGCACUUGCUCCUUGAUGGAAAAAAACAGGAAACAAAGGAGACACCCUAGCGCUUUUGCAGCUAGAGGGAGACCAUUGCACUUUUGUACUAUUUUUUCUCCAAUGUGUGCCAUCAUGGGAUACUCAUUCGAUUUCCCUGAUUUGAAUG